CCGCAGCGGAAAGCUCAGUAACACGUGGCCAAACUACCCUGUGGAUGGGAACAAUCUCGGGAAACUGAGGCUAAUUCCCAAUAACGCUCCACCCCUGGAACGGGCGGAGCUGGAAACGCUACGGCGCCACAGGAUGUGGCUGCGGUCGAUUAGGUAGACGGUGGGGUAACGGCCCACCGUGCCAAUAAUCGGUACGGGUUGUGAGAGCAAGAGCCCGGAGACGGAAUCUGAGACAAGAUUCCGGGCCCUACGGGGCGCAGCAGGCGCGAAACCUUUACACUGUACGCAAGUGCGAUAAGGGGACUCCGAGUGUGAAGGCAUAGAGCCUUCACUUUUGUACACCGUAAGGUGGUGUACGAAUAAGGGCUGGGCAAGACCGGUGCCAGCCGCCGCGGUAAUACCGGCAGCCCGAGUGAUGGCCGAUAUUAUUGGGCCUAAAGCGUCCGUAGCUGGCCGGACAAGUCCGUUGGGAAAUCUGUUCGCUUAACGAGCAGGCGUCCAGCGGAAACUGUUCGGCUUGGGACCGGAAGACCUGAGGGGUACGUCCGGGGUAGGAGUGAAAUCCUGUAAUCCUGGACGGACCACCGGUGGCGAAAGCGCCUCAGGAGGACGGAUCCGACAGUGAGGGACGAAAGCUAGGGUCUCGAACCGGAUUAGAUACCCGGGUAGUCCUAGCUGUAAACGAUGCCCGCUAGGUGUGGCGCAGGCUACGAGCCUGCGCUGUGCCGUAGGGAAGCCGAGAAGCGGGCCGCCUGGGAAGUACGUCUGCAAGGAUGAAACUUAAAGGAAUUGGCGGGGGAGCACUACAACCGGAGGAGCCUGCGGUUUAAUUGGACUCAACGCCGGACAUCUCACCAGCUCCGACAGUAGUAAUGACGGUCAGGUUGAUGAC
rnacentral:rRNA from 1 species